CCAUAGAUCUGGGUCUUGUUACAAGUUGAAAACUCAGACCAGGUUCAUCAGAAGAUUUGGUUGGAGCUUCUGGUCAUCCAACCCCCCCAGCUGUGUGAAGCCUUUGGAUGCCCCCAGGACCUUCAGGGUUCACAGAUAAACAUAAGAAAAUACACUAGCAAUCCGAACAGAAAUGCAGUCUGCAUUCUACCACAUGAAACAGCAAAUGUCUGCGUAAGCCCUGAAAUAUCUUGGCUCUGCAGCAAAUAGGUCCAUCUGCGGAGGAAGCCUUUCCUCAAGAAAACAGAAAUCUGCUCUGCUCGGGAAAGCUGCUGAGGAGAUGAUGAGCUCAUGCAAAUAAGUUCUGCUGCCACCUUCUAUGGACACAUUGUAAGAUACAGUCACUGCCCCAAAGAGCUUAGAAUCUAAACACACGAGACAAAGGGUGUGAGGGGAAAAGAAGCUAAGUAAAGUGACUUGCCUAAGAUCAUGCAGCUGCUCAAUACUAGAGCCAGCAAUAGAGCCAAGGUCACCUGAGUUCUAGUCCAGUGCUGUACACGCUAGAUUGUACUGUCCUUAUAGCUUGCAACUGUGAUACUGCAAUGUGUUGGGUCAUUGCUGCAAAAUGUUUAUAAGAGCUGGGAGAAGGGAGAGGGCCGAGGAGAGGUGCUGUUGCACCUUAAAAGCAAGCACAUGUGUGUAUAGAUUAUUCAGCUGAAAGCUAGUGUGUUAGUUAAAUAGGGAAUAUUGUAUCUUCCUGAAAAAACUACUUAGUAGGUCAGGCCUCACUUCAGUACAGAGACUCGCUCCAGGGAAUGCUGUGAGAAGGCUGCAUCCAGAAACAGCU